GGGGCUGUAGCUCAGUGGUGGAGUGCAAGCCUCACAUGUGUGAGGCACUGGGUUCGAUUCUCAGCACCA
rnacentral:tRNA from 1 species